AAGACUAUAGACCUGCGGAGUACCUGCGGAAGGAUCAUUAUCGUAUUGUAACAAUUGGGGGGGCCACCGUGGGCUGUCGCUGACCCUUUGAAAGGGGGGUCGUGCACGCCCCCAUAGUGUCAUCCUCAUACAAUCCAACUCACCUCUGUGCAUCACCGCGUGGGUUCCUUUCUGGGUCGAGUCAGACUGGCUCAGAAAAAAGGGGCUUGCGUUUUCCAUACAAAUACUCUUAUAAAUCCA
rnacentral:misc_RNA from 1 species